rnacentral:rRNA from 1 species
UGGGGAAUAUUGCGCAAUGGGGGAAACCCUGACGCAGCGACGCCGCGUGUGGGAUGAAGGUCUUCGGAUUGUAAACCACUGUCGCGAGGGACGAAGCUCUGACGGUACCUCGAAAGGAAGCACCGGCUAACUCUGUGCCAGCAGCCGCGGUAAUACAGAGGGUGCGAGCGUUGUCCGGAAUCACUGGGCGUAAAGGGCGCGUAGGCGGCCCGGUAAGUAGGGGGUGAAAUCUCAUGGCUCAACUGUGAGGCUGCCUUCUAGACUGCCAGGCUUGAGCACAGUAGAGGCGAGUGGAAUUCCCGGUGUAGCGGUGGAAUGCGUAGAGAUCGGGAAGAACAUCGGUGGCGAAGGCGGCUCGCUGGGCUGUUGCUGACGCUGAGGCGCGAAAGCGUGGGGAGCAAACAGGAUUAGAUACCCCGGUAGUCUGAGCGGGCUGGCAAGGCGCAU